CAACCCCUAAGCCUUAGUUGUUUAGCGUUGGGAGUUUGCAUCCCCGCGGUUAGCCGCGGCGCAACUCCUUAAAUUUCGUGGUAGGGCUCGCAUCGCCUUGAAGUGUAGUAAUUAUCUUCUCACUUUUAGAAGGCGUUUGCGCGGCACAGCCAGGUAAAACCUUAUAUAUAUAUCAAGU
rnacentral:misc_RNA from 1 species